GAUGAACGCUAGCGGCAGGCUUAACACAUGCAAGUCGAGGGGUAUAGUUCUUCGGAAUUAGAGACCGGCGCACGGGUGCGUAACGCGUAUGCAAUCUACCUUUCACAGAGGGAUAGCCCCAGAGAAAUUUGGAUUAAUACCUCAUAGUAUAGCAGUUUCGCAUGAAACCACUAUUAAAGUCACAACGGUGAAAGAUGAGCAUGCGUCCCAUUAGCUAGUUGGUAAGGUAACGGCUUACCAAGGCAACGAUGGGUAGGGGUCCUGAGAGGGAGAUCCCCCACACUGGUACUGAGACACGGACCAGACUCCUACGGGAGCAGCAGUGAGGAAUAUUGGACGAAUGGGCGCAAG
rnacentral:rRNA from 1 species